UUUUUUUUUUGACAUGCAAUAAAUAAAAACUUUAAUCAGUAACAAUCUAAACUAAACUGAAAGAAACUACCUAAUAGUGGGUUGCCUCCUACUCAGCGCUUUGUUAUAGUCAUUUAGCUUGACUUUCCAGAUCUGAUUUAGUCCGGAUGAGAAUGAGAACAUGCUCCAAAACAAGUAUCAAUGUCUGGUCUUUGAAGCUUUAUCAUUCUUAUGUGAAAGCCUCUUCCAUAGACUCUUCUCUGUUGUCUAUCAUCUCAGCAAUAAGUAGUGCUCUUAGCUUUGCAAAAGGCUUUGAGAAGCAUUUGCUGCGCAUUUUGGAUUUCCUGACACCAUCUGUGAAGCGAGGAAUCAAUGAUAACUGAGAAUCACCCAUGAUUCUUUUUCUCUUCUUUCAAUUCCUCCUCUUCUUUUCCCCAGACUUGUCUGAUCGAGUGGUGGUAUCUCCAUCCCUAAGAUUUCCACACACAUCGAAUUCCUUCUGCUCUGAUACGCGUCCAGUGUCGGUCGAUGGUGAAGUGGUAAUGUCGAUCGAUGCCGGUUUGUUGGUGUCGUUCGAUGGUAUCUGGUCGGUGUCGAUCGAUGUUGCUUCCGCUGGGCCCUUAUCGACUUCAUCUCU
rnacentral:lncRNA from 1 species